rnacentral:tRNA from 1 species
GAAGACAUAACUCAGCAGUUAAGAGCACUGGUUACUCUACCAGAGGACCUGGGUUCAAAUCCCAGUAUCCAUA